rnacentral:rRNA from 1 species
GAUCUCAAAUCAGGUAGGACUACCCGCUGAACUUA